UUAAGGACUACCCGUGCUUGCACUCGGUUUGCGCGAAUUGCGGCGGCGAAAUUUUGGUUUGUGUAAAUUUAACAGCAUGCAAAUCAUCAUUAACAUAGCACAUACAUUUGAAUGGCCGGCCAGCUAAAGUGGGCUUAUUUAUAAACAAACGCAGCUAAUUGAUUUUUAUUCGCGCGGUGCAAACAAGUGUAAAUGGGCAAUAAAAAUCGAAAGUAAACAUUGAAAGUACGCAUAUACACAUGUAUGUAGGCUAAAUUAAGUGAAGAAGAACAGAGAACGCGCGCCAAGAGCAAUAAUAAUGGAAAUUAUCAAAAAAGCAAAGAACAAAUGUCGCCACAAAUUGAUCACUCGCACUUCGAUUGCCAGUGUUGAUCAGCGUUCGAGUUCGAAUUAGCAUCAAAAACAACAACAGCAACCACAACAGCUUUGAUUGCUUCGACGAUCAUUUUAUGUGUCGCCCGCUGCCACUAUCGCUUAGUUUACAGUCUGGACUGGCGCGCGUUUCGCUUAAAUGAAUUUAAAUUAACCGACACUCUGUGCGAAUUUAUAGAAAAUGGAGGUUGACGAACUUACCAGCUCACUCUAAUACCAAUACUCACCCAAGCACAACCAUGUCACGAUCGGUACAAUAUGACGCCCACUCUAUGACAUUCAUGUCAAAUAAGAAAACAGUUCUCAACCGAAAUUGUCACACCACAACACCAACAAAGACGUAAGGAAGUCACCGCCACCCACCUGCAUUACCAGCACCCCCUACUGUUUUAUUACAUAUUGUAUUCUACAAAUUACUAAUUCCUAAGUAAGGCGAAGUGAAUAAAUGUGUACUGCGUACAAAUUGAAUUAA